AGAUUGAACGCUGGCGGCAUGCCUUACACAUGCAAGUCGAACGGCAGCACGGGAGCAAUCCUGGUGGCGAGUGGCGAACGGGUGAGUAAUACAUCGGAACGUGCCCAGUAGUGGGGGAUAGCCCGGCGAAAGCCGGAUUAAUACCGCAUACGACCUACGGGUGAAAGCGGGGGAUCGCAAGACCUCGCGCUAUCGGAGCGGCCGAUGUCAGAUUAGCUUGUUGGCGGGGUAAAAGCCCACCAAGGCGACGAUCUGUAGCUGGUCUGAGAGGACGACCAGCCACACUGGGACUGAGACACGGCCCAGACUCCUACGGGAGGCAGCAGUGGGAAUAUUGGACAAUGGGCGCAAGCCUGAUCCAGCCAUGCCGCGUGAGUGACGAAGGCCUUAGGUUGUAAAGCUCGUUUUUGGCGGGAAGAGUAAUGACGGUACCCGCAGAAUAAGCUCCGGCUAACUUCGCGCCAGCAGCCGC
rnacentral:rRNA from 1 species